rnacentral:rRNA from 1 species
UACGGGGGGGGUAAGCGUUGUUCGGAAUUACUGGGCGUAAAGGGCUCGUAGGCGGCCAACUAAGUCGGACGUGAAAUCCCUCAGCUUAACUGGGGAACUGCGUCCGAUACUGGAUGGCUUGGAUUUGGGAGAGGGAUGCGGAAUUCCAGGUGUAGCGGUGAAAUGCGUAGAUAUCAGGAGGAACACCGGUGGCGAAGGCGGUUCUCUGGGCCUGUACUGACGCUGAGGAACGAAAGCGUGGGGAGCGAACAGG